UUCGUGUCAAGCGAUAAUCUUUUAAUUAUUUUGAUAAGAAGAUCUUUAUAUUAUUUUAUAUGUCAAGGCUUAAAUACUUCAUGUAUAUCAUGCUUUAAAAUGUUCUAAGACAAUUGGAGACUAUAAUUAACUUACUCAAUCUUAUAUAAGGAGUAAAUGCAUUACACGGAAACAUGUUUGGGUCUUUGCGCAAUAAAUUCCAAAUAGUACAAGAAGGUUUAUCUGCAAGUAUAAGAGGUUUAACAGUGGUAGAAAAUCCUAACCAGAAAAAGACUAUUAAAUCAAGAAAUGUUAAUUAUGAUGCAGGUGCAGAUGUUUUACAUUAUUUUCAGUUACAAUGGAAUGAAUUACAUGAAUUGGCAGAAGUAAAUGCAGCUAAAGCUCAAGAAGUUGAUACUCUUAUUACUAACGUUUAUGGUAAAUUGGAAUAUGAAUGGAACAAUAUAACAUAUUUAAACAACACUUUAGCUAUAAUUCCUCAAAUAAAUAAUGAAAUUCAAAAUCUUAUGGAUCAAAUAGGAACACUUGAAGAAAUGUUCGAAGAAGUCGAAGGAGCAUUGUAUAAAUUAGAAGAUCUAAAUGAAAUGAUAGAUUUACAGAGCAGACAACUGGAUCACAGAUUUCAAUUGGCUUUAUAUAAAGAAAAAAGGUUAUCAGAAAUCAAUUCUGUAAAAGCAAAAUUGGCAAAUGAACAUAUUGACAGAGUAUCAAAACAUGAACAGAAGCAACAAUUAAUGUUGAAGGAACGACAAGAAACUUUUGAUGAAGUAUUUAAAGGAGAAUUAGAAGCUUAUAAAGCAACAGGAUAUAUACCUAAAAUACCAACAACUAAGGAAGGUCCAUCUUUGGAUGAAAUAGUAUUGGAUGUAGAUUCCCAAAUGUUUAAUGAAUUCUUAGAGAAUUGAAAAUUCAUUAAGACCUUAUCAAUAAGAUUUCUUUUUCCAUUCUUUAUUUUUUACUCAAUUAAAUGCAUUAUAUUAUUUAUUUAUCUUAUUAAUUAUUAUAUAACUAUUUGUUUUUUUUAGGAAAGAGUAAUAUUUGUUUUUAUUAUUAUAUAUAUAUAUAUCUGCAUUAGUAUGUAUAUGUGGCAAUUAAAUUGACUGUGACAUUGCAUCUUAUUAAUCACUUGCGCUGGAAAGACGUGUUACGCACGUCGAUAUGUGUUUGUCUCAAAAUAAUCAACGACGUAUUGUACACAUUGAUAUAACGGAAAUAAAAAAAAAACGUGUAUAGCACGUCGACUCAGAUCAUUGUCGAAGUACAAUCUCGAUGUGUACCGCGUAACGUGGAGUUAUCGAUACGGUUUCUCAAAUAGAUAUACGUAGUUCAAAAUUCUUACAAUUUAUAAUACAUUUUCUUAUACGAUAGUCAAAUCAAAUAAUAUAUUUAUUUUAUAUUAAUAAUUUCAACCAAUAUUGUAAAAUGAAGAGCGACAAUAGUGAAUUUAGUAAUAUUAUUUUGACAAAUACAAAAAGAAAAAGAUUAAUUAAAAUAGGUAGUGAAGAUAGUAUUAAUGAUUAUGAUUCUGAUAAAAUUGUUUUUCCAUUUCGAAAGCGAUGUAAAAUCAUAUUUGAUGAUAAGGAAAAAAGUAGAAAUGAAGAUUGUAAAAUUAAUCUUACAUCUAAGGAAUGGAUAUGAAAAGACGCUGAAAAUAAAAAGAGAAUAUGAGUCGAGUCAAUACAAAUAAACAAACACGCGUGAUCAGGACAGGUGCGUAUUUAUUAACUUUCAGAUCUUACACCACUUUUGGAUGGUAUUCUCGUAAUGAAGUAAUUGCCGCAAAAGUUUUGUAAUAACUUAUGUAUUUUCGUUCCUGAAUAUUACAAAUGACUAUCGUUUAACCAGCCAAUAGCUGAUGUCCAUCAUAUCUAUCACAUGCUUAGCACGCGAAUGUUUUGUUUAUUUCUACCGACUCGACUCGUUGAACGAAAUAUAAUAGGACAUAACUGUGUAAAAUUAUUUGCAUAAGACUCUACAGAGAUUUCAAGUAACGCUAGUUACGCUGUUACGUACAAGCGACUCCAGAUGGCACUUCUUUCUCAUAUGUGUGUAUCAAGAUAAUAUGACGCCAUACAAGCUUCUCAUUCUGGUCAAAUGUACCGAUAAAGUCGAAUGAAAUCAAGUUUUUAUAAAAUAUAAAUAAAUUGAGAUAUAUAUAGAUACUAAAUCAAUGUAAAAUAUGUUAAACCGCAUAAAAAAGAAGGAUUAUUAUUAUGAUAAAUUACACAGAGGUUUUGUUAAUGUAUGUAUGGCGGCAACAGUAAUAACUGGAACACUUGUGUUAUAUUCAGCGUAUCUCUUUUUUACACGUACUGUACCAGAAAAUAGAUUACAAAUGGAAAAAAAAGAAAAAGACCUUUUAAGUGAAGGAAUGGACUUAGAAGACACUGUAUCUACAUAAUAUUAAAAUAUGAUUAAAAUGUAGACAAUCAAGGAAAGUGGUACUUUUGUAGUUUAGGCACCGUCCACUUUAAGUCCUCUUUUUUCUGCAGAAAUAAAAAGUAGGAUAUGAAAUAUAUUUGUUAUCGUUGGAAUAUUUAUAAAACUAAAGAAUUUUUAGAUGGCUUGUAGAUUAUUGCCAUAUAUUUUUUAAGUAUUCGAACAAAAGAUAUUACUUGUACCAAUUUCAUGCAAUAAUAAUUUUCAAAAGUAGAUUUCAUAAUGUAAUCUAAUAAUAAUAAAAUGAUUGAAACUUUAA